UACGUAGGGUGCGAGCGUUAAUCGGAAUUACUGGGCGUAAAGCGUGCGCAGGCGGUUCGUUAAGUCAGAUGUGAAAGCCCCGGGCUCAACCUGGGAACUGCAUUUGAAACUGGCGGGCUUGAGUGUGGCAGAGGGGGGUGGAAUUCCGCGUGUAGCAGUGAAAUGCGUAGAGAUGCGGAGGAACACCGAUGGCGAAGGCAGCCCCCUGGGCUAACACUGACGCUCAUGCACGAAAGCGUGGGGAGCAAACAGG
rnacentral:rRNA from 1 species